AUGAACGCUGGCGGCGUGCCUAACACAUGCAAGUCGAGCGAUGAAACCGCCCUCGGGCGGACAUGAAGCGGCGAACGGGUGAGUAACACGUGACCGACCUGCCCCCCGCCCAGGGACAGCCCCCCGAAAGGGGGAUUAAUACCUGGUACUCCCGGGAAGGCGCAUGCCUUCCCGGGGAAAGCUUUCGCGGCGGGGGAUGGGGUCGCGGCCCAUCAGGUAGACGGCGGGGCAGAGGCCCACCGUGCCGACGACGGGUAGCCGGGUUGAGAGACCGACCGGCCACAUUGGGACUGAGAUACGGCCCAGACUCCUACGGGAGGCAGCAGUGGGGAAUUUUGCGCAAUGGGGGCAACCCUGACGCAGCAACGCCGCGUGCGGGACGAAGGCGUCCGCGUCGUAAACCGCUUUCAGCGGGGAACACUUCAACGAGGGUACCCGCAGAAGAAGCCCCGGCUAAAUACGUGCCAGCAGCCGCGGUAAUACGUAUGGGGCGAGCGUUAUCCGGAUUCAUUGGGCGUAAAGCGCGCGUAGGCGGAGCGCUAAGCGGGACCUCUAACCCGAGGGCUCAACCCCCGGCCGGGUCCCGAACUGGCGCUCUCGAGUGCGGUAGGGGAGAGCGGAAUUCCCGGUGUAGCGGUGGAAUGCGCAGAUAUCGGGAGGAACACCGACGGCGAAGGCAGCUCUCUGGGCCGAAACUGACGCUGAGGCGCGAAAGCUGGGGGAGCGAACAGGAUUAGAUACCCUGGUAGUCCACGCCGUAAACGAUGAGAACUAGGUGUUGGGGGAAUAACUCAGUGCCGCAGUUAACGCAAUAAGUUCUCCGCCUGGGGAGUAUGCACGCAAGUGUGAAACUCAAAGGAAUUGACGGGGGCCCGCACAAGCAGCGGAGCAUGUGGCUUAAUUCGAAGCAACGCGAAGAACCUUACCAGGGCUUGACAUCACCGUGAAGCGGCGGAGACGCCGUGGCCGGAAGGAGCGGUGACAGGUGGUGCAUGGCUGUCGUCAGCUCGUGCCGUGAGGUGUUGGGUUAAGUCCCGCAACGAGCGCAACCCCUGUCCCGUGUUGCCAGCAUUCAGUUGGGGACUCGCGGGGGACCGCCGGCGUCAAGCCGGAGGAAGGCGGGGACGACGUCAAGUCAUCAUGCCCCUUAUGCCCUGGGCCGCACACGUGCUACAAUGGCCGGUACAGAGGGUUGCCACCCCGCGAGGGGGAGCGGAUCCCGCAAAGCCGGCCCCAGUUCGGAUCGGAGGCUGCAACCCGCCUCCGUGAAGCCGGAGUUGCUAGUAAUCGCGGAUCAGCACGCCGCGGUGAAUACGUUCCCGGGCCUUGUACACACCGCCCGUCACACCACCCGAGUCGUCUGCACCCGAAGCCGCCGGCCGAACCCCUCCGGGGGGCGGAGGCGUCGAAGGUGUGGAGGGUGAGGGGGGUG
rnacentral:rRNA from 1 species